rnacentral:lncRNA from 1 species
AUAAGUUUGUAGAAUUAAACAAUUCAUCAGGGUAAGUGCUGAGAUGAUAUGACUGGGGCACUGCUGCCUCUGGUACAGUCUCGUGAAAAAAGUGUAGAUGUUGACAUUUCCAUUUAACAGUACACAGCACCCAACUCCCUACUUACAACCUAUUUUGGAACCACUUAUGUCUUCUGUAGCUACAUUUAAAUACUUAUAUUUGACUUACAGGAAAUGUUGAAAAGUCACAGAACUUUGAGCUUGCUUUUAUAAAGGAGGUAUGGAACACUGGCUUCCCAAAUAUCACCAACACAACACAUUGGUAACACCAAGUUGAACUCACUGCCUGUGUUGCAAGGGAUAAUAGUAUCUCUACUGAGCAUUGGCCAUGUAUUGGUACAGGGGAGACAAGGUAAGAAUUUAUUAAGAAUUGGAAGUUUGGUUUAAGGCAAAUCUUUCAAUAAGGGGAUUUAAGAAUGAGAGACAAAAACUGAUAUAUAUGGCCAGGCGCAGUGGCUCACACCUGUAAUCCCAGCACUUUGGGAGGCCGAGGUGGGCGGAUCACGAGGUCAGGAGAUCAAGACCAUCCUGGCUUGUUUAUGUCCAAUCAGAAAAUCAGCCCAAAGGAAUUAAAUGGGUAUUAGAAUUGCCACAAAUCUUUGGAUUCCUUAAGAGGUUUGGAAGAUACUUCAAAUACAGAAAUUCGGAUGGUCUAAGUUCUUUUUCCAGAAAAAAAUAUAAACUAUAGUUGACUCUGGAACAACACAGUUUUGGACUGCACGGGUCUGCUUAUACGUGGAUUUUCUUUCACCUCUGCCAUCCCUGAUACAAGACCAACGCCUGGCUUUCUCCCUCUCCUUGCCCCAUUCAAUAUGAAGAUGACGAGGAUAAAAACCUUUAUGAUGAUCCAGUUCCACUGGAUAAAUAGCAAAUAUAUCUUCUCUUAUUUAUGAUUGAUUUGCUUAAUAACAUUUUCUCUUCUCUAGCUUACUUUAUUGUAAGAAUACAGUGUAUAUACAUGUAAUAUACAAAAUAUGUAUGAAUUGUUUGUUUUCAGUCAACAGCCUUGCAUCUUACAGUAUUUUACCCUCCCCAUUCUCUGGUAACCACUAUUCUAUAUUCUCCUUUCUACUUGUAUGAGAAGAACUUUUUAGAUUCCACAUGUGAGUGAGAUCAUUAAGUAUUAUUUUUAAUUUGAAAGAAUGACUUAGAAAAAUACUUGACCUUUACCUACUUAAUUCUUGUUUCCACAAUUCUGUGGUUUCAAAGAUAACUGUUAACUUGGCUCCUUCUAAAUGCACCACUGAAUAAGCACUCAUUAUCAGUGACUAUAAUCCUAACAGGAAGAUUGCUCAUUUAAACCCAUUGCAAAAGUCAGUAGAAGUUAAUAGUUUAUAUUUGGUCAUAGAAACUUUUAUAGUGACUGAAGAUUUAUAGUCAUACUGA